CUUCCCCCCCCCACCCCCAAGAGAUCCCUGGUCUUACAAGGAGGAAGUUGAGUUGGAGCUAAUGGCACCUGUGCUGACUGCACUUUGAGAGCCUUCGUGUUGUUCCUUGGAGGAAGACACCAACUCAGUUCACAUCUGUCUCAUAUCCUUGGAGGCCAUCAGAGAGCAGCUCCUGACCUCCAAACAAGUGCAAGAGCCCUAUGAGGACUGAUUGUAAAGUUCGCCACUAAAAUCGCUGCUCUGUGAAGGACUGUGCUGUGGAGGGAGCACCCUGCCUCCACGGUGGUCUGUAAGCAAAGUGCCUUGGGCUGGCUAUAGUGGCUCACUCUGCAAUCCUAGCACUUGAGAGUUGAGAACUGCUGUGCUUUAUAGCAGCCUGAGCUACAAAUGAUUCCUUUAAACAAAAACACACGAAAGCAAGUGCCUUUACCUGGAGAUAACCAGUGUCACCAAGAAUUUCCAUUAUAUUAAGGACCCUUCUAAUCUCAGAAGUCCCAGUAGACUGACUACAGUGUGCUCACAGCCCUGGGUGCUAGUCAUGAAUGAGGUGGUGUGAUUUCCUGAUUUGCUUCACACCAGCAGGGGCCCUGACUGCCACACUGGGCGGCCAAAUAAACCAUUUCUUGUCUCAGUUUUCCAACCUUUGGCUGGGUGUGGUUAUGCAUACCUUUGAUCCUAGCCUUGUAGGAAAGUGGAAGCAGGUGGAUCUCUGAUCUAUGAGUUUGAGGACAGCUUAGCCUACACAGAGAACUACAGGCCAGCUGACACUAAACAGAAAGACCAUGUCUCAAAUAAAAGUUGAUGCCUGGAGAAGAGGAUCCUAGUUACAGGGUUCUCCUGACAGAGGGAACAGCUACACCUCACUCUCGUAACCUAGUCUUGGCUUCACAAGUGACCAGCCUGGGGACUGUGCUCAAACACUGAUCAGUCAUUUCCCGCACU
rnacentral:lncRNA from 1 species